GGUAUCCAGGGUGGUUGCUAAGGUGUUGCUAGGUGGUUGCUAAGGUGUUGCUAUGGUAUCCUGGGUGGUUGCUAAGGUGUUGCUAGGUGGUUGCUAGGCAGUUGCUAAGGUGUUGCUAUGGUAUCCUGGGUGGUUGCUAAGGUGUUUCUAGGUGGUUGCUAAGGUGUUGCUAGGUGGUUGCUAAGGUGUUGCUAGGUGGUUGCUAUGGUGUUGCUAUGGUAUCCGGGGUGGUUGCUAAGGUGUUGCUAGGUGGUUGCUAGGCGGUUGCUUAAGUGUUGCUAUGGUAUCUGGGGUGGAUGCUAUGGUGUGGUUGCUAAGGUGUUGCUAGGUGGUUGCUAAGGUGUUGCUAUGGUAUCCAGGGUGGUUGCUAAGGUGUUGCUAGGUGGUUGCUAAGGUGUUGCUAUGGUAUCCGGGGUGGUUGCUAAGGUGUUGCUAGGUGGUUGCAAGGUGGUUGCUAAGGUGUUGCUAGGUGGUUGCUAGGGUGUUGCUAGGUGGUUGCUAAGGUUUUGCUAGGUGGUUGCUAAGGUGUUGCUGUGGUAUCCAGGGUGGUUGCUAAGGUGUUGCUAGGUGGUUGCUAAGGUGUUGCUAUGGUAUCCGGGGUGGUUGCUAAGGUGUUGCUAGGUGGUUGCUAAGGUGUUGCUAUGGUAUCCUGGGUGGUUGCUAAGGUGUUGCUAGGUGGUUGCUAGGCAGUUGCUAAGGUGUUGCUAUGGUAUCCUGGGUGGUUGCUAAGGUGUUUCUAGGUGGUUGCUAAGGUGUUGCUAGGUGGUUGCUAAGGUGUUGCUAGGUGGUUGCUAUGGUGUUGCUAUGGUAUCCGGGGUGGUUGCUAAGGUGUUGCUAGGUGGUUGCUAGGCGGUUGCUUAAGUGUUGCUAUGGUAUCCGGGGUGGAUGCUAUGGUGUGGUUGCUAAGGUGUUGCUAGGUUGUUGCUAAGGUGUUGCUAUGGUAUCCAGGGUGGUUGCUAAGGUGUUGCUAGGUGGUUGCUAAGGUGUUGCUAUGGUAUCCAGGGUGGUUGCUAAGGUGUUGCUAGGUGGUUGCUAGGUGGUUGCUAGGGUGUUGCUAGGUGGUUGCUAAGGUGUUGCUAUGGUAUCCAGGGUGGUUGCAAAGGUGUUGCUAGGUGGUUGCUAGGCGGUUGCUAGGCGGUUGCUAAGGUGUUGCUAUGGUGUCUGUGGUGGUUGCUAAGGUGUUGCUAGGUGGUUGCUAAGAUGUUGCUAUGGUAUCUGGGGUGGUUGCUAAGGUGUUGCUAGGUGUAUCUGACUGGUCGCUAGGCAGUUGCUACCAUUUCUAAAGUGGUUGCUAAGCAGUUGCUAACGUUUUCCAGGUGGUUGCUAAGGUGUUGCUAUCUGGUUGCUAGGCAGUUGCUAACGUAUUACACAUGGUUGCUAAGUGGUUGCUAGGCAGUUGCUAAUGUUUUCCAGGUGGUUGCUAAGGUGUAUCUAACUGGUUCCUAGGCAGUAGUAGAUAAAAAGAAAGAGUGUUAAAUGUAGAAGUACAGAAAAAGGGAGAGCCUGAAAUAGAGAAGUAGAGAGAAAAUCAGCGUGAGAAGUAGAGAAAGAACACCCGAGAAUGUGAGAAAAAGAGUGACAAGUAGAGAGAAAUAUUGAGCGAGAGAAAGAGAAUUAGGGAAAAAGAGAGAUCGAGAAAUAAAGAAGUAGAGAAAGAAAAAGGAUGUAGUAGAGAGAUAGAUAGAAAGAGAAAGCAAGACAGAAAAGUAGAGUGAAAGAGAAGUAGAGAGAAGAGCGAGAAAUAAAGAGAGAGUAAGAGAGAAAUAGAGAAAUAGAAAAGUAGAAAGAAAGAGACAUAGAAAAGUAGAGAGAGUGAGAAAGAGAGAGUGAGAAAUAGAGAAGUAGAGAGAGAGUGAGAAAGAGAGAGUGAGAAAUAGAGAAGUAGAGAGAGUGAGAAAUAGAGACGUAGAGAGAGAGUGAGAAAGAGAGUGAGAAAUAGAGAAGUAGAGAGAGAGUGAGAAAUAGAGACGUAGAGAGAGAGUGAAAAAGAGAGUGAGAAAUAUAGAAGUAGAGAGAGUGAGAAAUAAAGAGAAAUAGAGACGUAGAGAGAGAGUGAAAAAGAGAGUGAGAAAUAUAGAAGUAGAGAGAGUGAGAAAUAUAGAAGUAGAGAGAGAGAGUGAGAAAUAGAGACGUAGAGAGAGUGAGAAAUAGAGACGUAGAGAGAGAGUGAGAAAGAGUGAGAAAUAGAGAAGUAGAGAGAGUGAGAAAUAGAGACGUAGAAAAGAGUGAGAAAGAGAGAGUGAGAAAUAGAGAAGUAGAGAGAGAGUGAGAAAUAGAGACGUAGAGAGAGAGUGAGAAAUAGAGAAGUAGAGAGCAAAAGAGAGAGUGAGAAGUAGAGAGCAAAAGAGAGAGUGAGACAGAGAAGUAGAGAGCAAACGAGAGAGUGAGAAGUAGAGAAGUAGAGAGCAAAAGAAAGAGUGAGAAAUAGAGAAGUAGAGAGAGAGUGGGAAAGAUAGAGUGAGAAUUAGAGAAGUAGAGAGAGAGUGAGAUAGAGAAGUAGAGAGAGAGUGAGAAAUAGAGACGUAGAGAGAGUGAGAAAGAGAGAGUGAGAUAGAGAAGUAGAGAGAGAGUGAGAAAUAGAGUGAGAAAUAGAGACGUAGAGAGAGAGUGAGAAAGAGAGUGAGAAAUAGAGGAGUAGAGAGCAAAAGAGAGUGAGAAAUAGAGAAGUAGAGAGCAAAAGAGAGAGUGAGAAGUAGAGAAGUAGAGAGCAAAAGAAAGAGUGAGAAAUAUAGAAAUAGAGAGAGAGUGGGAAAGAGAGUGAGAAUUAGAGAAGUAGAGAGCGAAAGAGAGAGUGAGAAAGAGAGAGUGGUUGCUAAGCAGUUAAUAGGUGGUUGCUAAACCCUGGCUGGGGUGCCGGGGUGUCCAAACUUUUGACUGAUAGCUGCUCCAUACAGCAGCUCCUCCAUACACUCACAGUACUGGAGGAGCAGGGGAGA